UACGAAGGUGGCAAGCGUUACUCGGAAUUACUAGGCGUAAAGGGCAGGUAGGUGGUUUGGUUAGUCUGUUGUGAAAGCUCCUUGCUUAACGGGGAGAGGUCAACAGAUACUGCCAGGCUUGAGUAUGGGAGAGGGUACUGGAAUUCCCGGUGUAGCGGUGAAAUGCGCAGAGAUCGGGAGGAACACCAAUGGCGAAAGCAGGUACCUGGACCAUUACUGACGCUGAGGAGCGAAAGCGUGGGUAGCAAACAGG
rnacentral:rRNA from 1 species